rnacentral:rRNA from 1 species
CUUGCUACUUUGCUGACGAGUGGCGGACGGGUGAGUAAUGCUUGGGAAUAUGCCUUAUGGUGGGGGACAACAGUUGGAAACGACUGCUAAUACCGCAUAACAUCUCCGGAUCAAAGUGGGGGACCUUCGGGCCUCACGCCAUAAGAGUAGCCCAAGUGGGAUUAGCUAGUUGGUAAGGUAAUGGCUUACCAAGGCGACGAUCCCUAGUUGGUCUUAGAGGAUGACCAGCCACACUGGAACUGAGACACGGUCCAGACUCCUACGGGAGGCAGCAGUGGGGAAUAUUGCACAAUGGGCGCAAGCCUGAUGCAGCCAUGCCGCGUGUGUGAAGAAGGCUUUCGGGUUGUAAAGCACUUUCAGCGAGGAGGAAAGGUUGUACUUUAAUAGAGUGCAGCUGUGACGUUACUCGCAGAAGAAGCACCGGCUAACUCCGUGCCAGCAGCCGCGGUAAUACGGAGGGUGCGAGCGUUAAUCGGAAUUACUGGGCGUAAAGCGCGCGUAGGCGGUUAAUUAAGUCAGAUGUGAAAUCCCAGGGCUCAACCUUGGAACUGCAUUUGAAACUGGUUAACUAGAGUUUUGUAGAGGGUGGUAGAAUUUCAGGUGUCGCGGUGAAAUGCGUAGAGAUCUGAAGGAAUACCAGUGGCGAAGGC